UCCUGCUCUACCCCCCAGGACACCUCAGUAGAAGCGAGCUCCAUUUGUUAUGGAAUCGGGUCCCACUGCUUGCCCCUUACAAAAUCAAUACUCACAGACGAUGGUAGAGAGGAAAGUUGCCUUUAAUCAGAAAGCCAGUAAUCUGGGGAGAUGGUGGACACAGGGUCCCCCAAAACCACCUCUGAAGAUUCUGCUCAGCCAUGAAAGCUUCUAAAGAUUAAACCUGAAGGCCAGGCAUCUAAGCUUCCCUCAAGAACAUCUUGGUACUUGCCUUAACAACCAGCUCACAGGGAAACACCUUGACCCUGCCCACCUGUGAAUGGCUGCAGAAAAGAAGAAAUUAACACAUCCUCUCCCUCAGGCUGGCCAAGCCAGGAGAUACUUUGGAAGACUUAUGGCCUUUUUAUUUUACUUCCUCACCCACCCUCCCCCCCACCCC